rnacentral:rRNA from 1 species
UGAGGAACAUGACCUUCGGCGGGGGAUAGCCGGCCCAACGGCCGGGUAAUACCGCGUACGACCACUUUGGGACAUCCCUCGGUGGUGAAAGCAGCAAUGCGCCGAUGGAGUGCCUCGCGGCCUAUCAGCUAGUUGGUGAGGUAACGGCUCACCAAGGCGACGACGGGUAGCUGGUCUGAGGAGGAUGGCCAGCCCAACUAGUUUGGGGACUGGAGACCACCGGCCCAGACCUCCGUACGGGGAGCAG